GACGAACGCUGGCGGCGUGCUUAACACGUGCAAGUCGAACGGAAAGGCCCUGCUUUUGUGGGGUGCUCGAGUGGCGAACGGGUGAGUAACACGUGAGUAACCUGCCCUUGACUUUGGGAUAACUUCAGGAAACUGGGGCUAAUACCGGAUAGGAGCUCCUGCUGCAUGGUGGGGGUUGGAAAGUUUCGGCGGUUGGGGAUGGACUCGCGGCUUAUCAGCUUGUUGGUGGGGUAGUGGCUUACCAAGGCUUUGACGGGUAGCCGGCCUGAGAGGGUGACCGGCCACAUUGGGAAUGAGAGACGGCCGAGACUCCGACGGGAGGCAGCAGGGGGGAAGAUGGCGCAAGGGGCGGGAGCCGGAUGCAGCAACGCCGCGUGCGGGAUGGCGGCCUUCGGGUUGUAAAACGCUUUCGCCUGUGACGAAGCGUGAGGGACGGUAAUGGGUAAAGAAGCACCGGCUAACUACGUG
rnacentral:rRNA from 1 species